GGAGGGGUGUCCGAGUGGUUUAAGGAGGCGGUCUUGAAAACCGUUAACCUCUCACGAGGUUCAUGGGUUCGAAUCCCAUUCCCUCCGCCA
rnacentral:tRNA from 2 species